CUGUGGGGACAGCAUGGCCUACCUGGAGCUGAGCAACCCAUGAGCACUGUGCCCAUGAACUGUAAGCACAACUGGGUGCCUGACCCAAAGUUAAGGAGUUGCAGUUGGUCCGUGAGAUCACAGUGAUGGCAUGCUGCAAAAAGUCACCUUAAGGCUCCAGAGGAAGGCCCCCACCCCUAAAUCCAAAGUACUUUUACAGAGCCCAGCAGUGUGUGCCCAGGGCCACCACACAGUCUUGCAGCCUCAGACCUGUGCUGAUGGGUGCGAUCAGUACCCGGGGCAUGGUGCGGAGUCCAGCAGAAAGCUGAACCAAGCAUUUUGGGAGAGAGGAGAAGCGGUGCAGGAGGAGCUAUCCUGAAGGGCACACCAUGGUCAGCAAGUGAGUGGGAUGGAUGGCUUCAUCUAAGAUUCCCUCAUCCUCUGGGGAGGUGACGGAGGAAGAAAAGACAGGGAAACCCCACUGUGCACUGCAGACCUACAGCCCCCACCUUUGUGCACAGCAUCAGCUUGAUGUUAAAUAGGGAUGCUGAAAAAUGGGGGGUCUUGAUUAGGAACCAGAAAGGAAGUAGGGGUGCAAAGACACUUGGCCAG
rnacentral:lncRNA from 1 species